GAUGAACGCUGGCGGCGUGCCUAAUACAUGCAAGUCGAGCGAACGGAUAAGGAGCUUGCUCCUUUGAAGUUAGCGGCGGACGGGUGAGUAACACGUGGGUAACCUACCUAUAAGACUGGAAUAACUUCGGGAAACCGGAGCUAAUGCCGGAUAACAUUUGGAACUGCAUGGUUCUAAAGUAAAAGUUGGUUUUGCUAUCACUAUAGAUGGACCCGCGCCGUAUUAGCUAGUUGGUAAGGUAACGGCUUACCAAGGCAACGAUACGUAGCCGAGCUGAGAGGGUGAUCGGCCACACUGGAACUGAGAAACGGUCCAGACUCCUACGGGAGGCAGCAGUAGGGAAUCUUCCGCAAUGGACGAAAGUCUGACGGAGCAACGCCGCGUGAGUGAUGAAGGUUUUCGGAUCGUAAAACUCUGUUAUUAGGGAAGAACAAAUGUGUAAGUAACUGUGCACAUCUUGACGGUACCUAAUCAGAAAGCCACGGCUAACUACGUGCCAGCCGCCGCCGUAA
rnacentral:rRNA from 1 species